CUCAGAGUGAACGCUGGCGGCAGGCCUAACACAUGCAAGUCGAACGGCAGCGGACCUUCGGGUGCCGGCGAGUGGCGAACGGGUGAGUAAUAUAUCGGAACGUACCUUCAGUGGGGAUAACGUAGCGAAAGUUACGCUAAUACCGCAUAUUCUGUGAGCAGGAAAGCAGGGGAUCGCAAGACCUUGCGCUGAUUGAGCGGCCGAUAUCAGAUUAGCUAGUUGGUGAGGUAAAGGCUCACCAAGGCGACGAUCUGUAGCGGGUCUGAGAGGAUGAUCCGCCACACUGGAACUGAGACACGGUCCAGACUCCUACGGGAGGCAGCAGUGGGGAAUUUUGGACAAUGGGCGCAAGCCUGAUCCAGCCAUGCCGCGUGAGUGAAGAAGGCCUUCGGGUUGUACAGCUCUUUCGGCCGGGAAGAAAUCGCACGGGUUAAUACCCUGUGUGGAUGACGGUACCGGAAUAAGAAGCACCGGCUAACUACGUG
rnacentral:rRNA from 1 species